GAUGGGGUUGUCCAAUGGCUACCGCUUCUGCUUUAUAAGCAGAUGGUCCUGGGUUUAAUCCCAGGCCCAUCC
rnacentral:tRNA from 1 species